CCGACUGGAACCCCACCCCUUUCCCUCCUCGGGUUUUGCCUACAGGAGGAGUAUCCUCAGCUAAUAUCUAGGAGCAGCUGCCCGGGCUCAAACCCGCCCGGAAGUCGCGCCUCCGAACUUCAGAGGAAUGUGUGGGGCAAACUCUGCUAUAUAAGAUGAAUACAUUCUGCAACUGCACGGAGGCACUGUUGGGCAAUAACUUGGAAUUCUAGCUUGAAUGCAAGCAACUCUGGUGCCAUCCAUUCCAUAACAAACUCGUAGGGAUGGAAGCAGGAACCAAUUACAUUGGCAUCUGGCUUUUCUAAAAUGACUGAAUGCAAAGGUUUCUCACAGAAAAUGCUUCUCUGCUAUGCAAAACACACUCAAGUGAGAUGCAGAGACAGACAGAAAUUCAAUUUCGGGCAACAAAUGUUAGCCGAGUUUCAGAGACUACACCUAAAAGACUCUUUCUUACUCCCUUGGAGAAAUCUAAGAACAUUUGGAAACAACUUACACUCCUUUUGGGAGGAAUUGAAGAAACACUUUUGGAGGAUAUUAUGAAGAACUCCAUACACCAGGGAGGAGUGACUUAUAUUUAGCAGAUGGGAAGUUUAUCACGCUUGUGAUAUAAUAAUUGUUCAUGUAUUUCUGAGGAAGCUCAUUGUGAAAGAAGGACUUACCACGAAACUUGUCAAAUUAAGUGACUUGUGUAUAUACAGUGAUUCAUAUAUUAAGUGAUUUAUGUUAAUUAAGUGAU